rnacentral:tRNA from 1 species
GCCGGGGUAGCUCAGCCAGGUAGAGCGCUCGGCUGUUAACCGAGUGGUCGUGGGUUCGAAUCCCACCCCCGGCG